AGCUUGCUCCCUGAGAUUAGCGGCGACGGGDGAGUAACACGUGGGCAACCUGCCUAUAAGACUGGGAUAACUUCGGGAAACCGGAGCUAAUACCGGAUACGUUCUUUUCUCGCAUGAGAGAAGAUGGAAAGACGGUUUCUGCUGUCACUUUUAAAUGGGCCCCCGGCGCAAUAACUAGUUGGGGAGGUAAUGGCUCACCAAGGCGACCAUGCCUAGCCCACCUGGAAGGGGGGUCGGGCCCCCUGGGACUGAAACCCGGCCCCAACCCCCACCGGAGGCCGCCGUAGGGGAUCUUCCCCAAUGGACGAAAGUUUGAAGGAACAACCCCCCCUGAACCAAAAAAGGCUUUCGGUCCUAAAAUUUUUUUUUUUAGGAAAAACCAAUACCAAAGUAACUGCUGGGACCUUGGCCGGACCUAACCAAAAAGCCCCCGCUUACUUCCUUGCAACCACCCCGGGAAUUCCUAAGUGGGAAAGGUUUUCCCGAAUUAUUGGGGGUAAAACCCCCCCAAGUGGGUCCUUUAGGCCGAUUGGGAAGCCCACGGCUCAACCGUGGAGGGUCAUUGGAAACUGGGGAACUUGAGUGCAGAAGAGGAAAAGGGGAAUUCCAAGUGUAGCGGUGAAAUGCGUAGAGAUUUGGAGGAACACCAGUGGCGAAGGCGACUUUCUGGUCUGUAACUGACACUGAGGCGCGAAAGCGUGGGGAGCAAACAGGAUUAGAUACCCUGGUAGUCCACGCCGUAAACGAUGAGUGCUAAGUGUUAGAGGGUUUCCGCCCUUUAGUGCUGCAGCUAACGCAUUAAGCACUCCGCCUGGGGAGUACGGCCGCAAGGCUGAAACUCAAAGGAAUUGACGGGGGCCCGCACAAGCGGUGGAGCAUGUGGUUUAAUUCGAAGCAACGCGAAGAACCUUACCAGGUCUUGACAUCCUCUGACAACCCUAGAGAUAGGGCGUUCCCCUUCGGGGGACAGAGUGACAGGUGGUGCAUGGUUGUCGUCAGCUCGUGUCGUGAGAUGUUGGGUUAAGUCCCGCAACGAGCGCAACCCUUGAUCUUAGUUGCCAGCAUUCAGUUGGGCACUCUAAGGUGACUGCCGGUGACAAACCGGAGGAAGGUGGGGAUGACGUCAAAUCAUCAUGCCCCUUAUGACCUGGGCUACACACGUGCUACAAUGGAUGGUACAAAGGGCUGCAAACCUGCGAAGGUAAGCGAAUCCCAUAAAGCCAUUCUCAGUUCGGAUUGUAGGCUGCAACUCGCCUACAUGAAGCCGGAAUCGCUAGUAAUCGCGGAUCAGCAUGCCGCGGUGAAUACGUUCCCGGGCCUUGUACACACCGCCCGUCACACCACGAGAGUUUGUAACACCCGAAGUCGGUGUGGUAACCUUUAUGGAGCCAGCCGCCUAAGGUGGG
rnacentral:rRNA from 1 species